UGGGGAAUUUUGGACAAUGGGGGCAACCCUGAUCCAGCAAUGCCGCGUGAGUGAAGAAGGCCUUCGGGUUGUAAAGCUCUUUUGUCAGGGAAGAAACGGUAGUAGCGAAUAACUAUUACUAAUGACGGUACCUGAAGAAUAAGCACCGGCUAACUACGUGCCAGCAGCCGCGGUAAUACGUAGGGUGCAAGCGUUAAUCGGAAUUACUGGGCGUAAAGCGUGCGCAGGCGGUUGUGUAAGUCAGAUGUGAAAUCCCCGGGCUCAACCUGGGAAUUGCAUUUGAGACUGCACGGCUAGAGUGUGUCAGAGGGGGGUAGAAUUCCACGUGUAGCAGUGAAAUGCGUAGAUAUGUGGAGGAAUACCGAUGGCGAAGGCAGCCCCCUGGGCUAACACUGACGCUCAUGCACGAAAGCGUGGGGAGCAAACAGGAUUAGAUACCCAGGUAGUCCCUGAGCGGGCUGGCAAGGCGCAU
rnacentral:rRNA from 1 species